rnacentral:rRNA from 1 species
UACGGAGGGGGCUAGCGUUGUUCGGAAUUACUGGGCGUAAAGCGCGCGUAGGCGGACCUGCAAGUCGGGGGUGAAAGCCCGAGGCUCAACCUCGGAACUGCCUUCGAUACUGCGGGUCUCGAGUCCGGGAGAGGUGAGUGGAAUUCCUAGUGUAGAGGUGAAAUUCGUAGAUAUCUGGAGGAACACCGGUGGCGAAGGCGGCCUUCUGGACAGUGACUGACGCUGAGACGCGAAAGCGUGGGGAGCAAACAGG